rnacentral:rRNA from 1 species
CCUACGGGAGGCAGCAGUGAGGAAUAUUGGUCAAUGGGCGUAAGCCUGAACCAGCCAAGUCGCGUGAGGGAUGAAGGUUCUAUGGAUCGUAAACCUCUUUUAUAAGGGAAUAAAGUGUGGGACGUGUCCUAUUUUGUAUGUACCUUAUGAAUAAGGAUCGGCUAAGUCCGUGCCAGCAGCCGCGGUAAUACGGAGGAUCCGAGCGUUAUCCGGAUUUAUUGGGUUUAAAGGGUGCGUAGGCGGCCUUUUAAGUCAGCGGUGAAAGUCUGUGGUGCAACCAUAGAAUUGCCGUUGAAACUGGGGGGCUUGAGUAUGUAUGAGGCGGGCGGAAUGCGUGGUGUAGCGGUGAAAUGCUUAGAUAUCACGCAGAACCCCGAUUGCGAAGGCAGCCUGCCAAGCCAUGACUGACGCUGAUGCACGAAAGCGUGGGGAUCAAACAGGAUUAGAUACCCCUGUAGUC